rnacentral:ncRNA from 1 species
UUAGGUGUCAAAGACUUAAUAGAGAAUUCGGUGAAGGAUGUAUGGCCGUAUGCCAUGCAGACCGAUGCCGAAGCGGUCCCGCCACUGUAUCAGCGAGUGAGCCUGCAGGGCGCGCAGAGAUGAUCUGCCGUCCCGAUUUGCCACUGGAGGAAUAUCCUCUGGGAAGGCGCAGGUGAACGAUGACCUGGAGCCAGGAGAACUGCCUAGUUAUG